rnacentral:rRNA from 1 species
GAUGAACGCUGGCGGCGUGCCUAAUACAUGCAAGUCGAGCGAACGGACGAGAAGCUUGCUUUUCUGAUGUUAGCGGCGGACGGGUGAGUAACACGUGGAUAACCUACCUAUAAGACUGGGAUAACUUCGGGAAACCGGAGCUAAUACCGGAUAAUAUUUUGAACCGCAUUGUUCAAUAUUGAAAGACGGUCUUGCUGUCACUUAUAGAUGGAUCCGCUCUGCAUUAUCUAGUUGGUAAGGUAACGGCUUACCAAGGCAACUAUGCAUAGCCGACCUGAGAGGGUGAUCGGACACACUGGAACUGAGACACGGUACAGACUCCUACGGGAGGCAGCAGUAGGGAAUCUUACGCAAUGGGCGAAAGCCUGACGGAGCAACGCCGCGUGAGUGAUGAAGGUCUUCGGAUCGUAAAACUCUGUUAUUAGGGAAGAAAAGAUGUGUAAGUAACUAUGCACAUCUUGACGGUACCUAAUCAGAAAGCCACGGCUAACUACGUG